CUACUAACCACAGCUGUGGGUUUCUUGUCAGCUAGAUUAUAGGCAGAACAAGCUCAUGUCUCUUUAUAGGUAGCCCUAUAGGGUUUUAGUCCUUGUAAAUAGCGCUAGCAUUAAAAAGUUGAAUGUUUCUUCUUUCUCUCCCCAGAACAAGCCAUGAAUUUCAGGGAAUAGUAAUCACCCAGACGUUGUGUGGGUUUGCUUUCCUUCUUCUGGAGGAACGGAGGAUGUUGUUGACAGCCAGCCUAGAGCCCUUCAGUCUGCCUUCUGUAUCUCUCCCAUCCACUGAAGUGCUCAUCAGUGCUUGGAGGCAGCACAACUGACAAUCCACAAAGCUGAUCCACUUUUUCUGAUGCUUCAGUAAACCAUGAAGUCUGCUGCUCAGCCUGUUUCUUGUAAAAACACAGUGAUGUGGCACAAUGCUAUUUGCCUGGCUGAAGGCAGGUGGGAGGGAAGUGGUGGGAAAAACCUGAAGCUAGGCAGAUUUUUUUUUUUUUUAAGGGGGUAGGAUGGGGUUUCACUUCUCAGGAUUUGUAGUGUUUUCAGACAGUAUAAAUACCUUGUGAAAAUUAAGAGUAUAUUUUGUAAAUUUCUCUCCUGGUUGUCGUAUGCGUAUUUUAUUAAAAACAUCCUUUGACAUCUUCAGAUUAAUAUUUAUAUAUUUCUUUUCUAUGUAGCUUUUCUUUCUCUGCCAUAUUCUCUGUUACUCUUGCCAGCUCUUUAUAUUUCGAUCUUGCAGAGUGGUGGCCUAUCUUUGUUGUGAAGCCAAAAUGCAAAUGUCUUGCUGCCACUUCAAUUUCAUGGCUUGAAGUGGACCUGAUUUGACAUAAACCAGACAUAUGUGGGGAAAUGUAUGAGUACAGAGGGUAUUAAUUAUAUUCUUGAGUGUUGAUCCUGAUGAUAUACAGCAAAUAACUCUGCCUAGUACCUAUCUAGCACCUAAAACUGCACUAAUUCUGGCAUAUGUAAAUCCUAUGCCUUGCAUGCAAAAUGUAUGUUGGUGGGUGAACUGAUUGAACACUAGCAUUACAUGUAUGUGUUAGAACCACUGAACUACUGUCCACUCAGGCAUGUUACGGAAGAAAUAUAUGUGCUUAAGUAAAUCUAUGCUUUUCAAAA